rnacentral:rRNA from 1 species
UAUUGCACAAUGGGCGCAAGCCUGAUGCAGCGACGCCGCGUGAGUGAAGAAGUAUCUCGGUAUGUAAAGCUCUAUCAGCAGGGAAGAAAAUGACGGUACCUGACUAAGAAGCCCCGGCUAACUACGUGCCAGCAGCCGCGGUAAUACGUAGGGGGCAAGCGUUAUCCGGAUUUACUGGGUGUAAAGGGAGCGUAGACGGAAUUGCAAGUCUGAUGUGAAAAUCCGGGGCCCAACCCCGGAACUGCAUUGGAAACUGUGCUGCUGGAGUGCAGGAGAGGUAAGUGGAAUUCCUAGUGUAGCGGUGAAAUGCGUAGAUAUUAGGAGGAACACCAGUGGUGAAGGCGGCUUACUGGACUGUAACUGACGUUGAGGCUCGAAAGCGUGGGGAGCAAACAG